UGAGACAGAGUGAGCAGAGACCAGACUCUCAGCCUCUUCGUUGGAACAGCCAUUGCUUGACUGCCCAGACUGUAUUGUGCCUCCAUUUCCAUUUCAUAGCCGUUCGGGGAACACACUCCCCACUGUCUGCCAGAAUUACCUCCAGUGUGGUGGGAGCUGGUGGCAGCUGAGCAGGCGGCAGCAUGGUCACAGCUAGCCACUCCCUGGUGACUAAGCAUGGAGAUAUGGCCUGUGGGACCCAUUCUCAUCCAAGCCACUCAGCUAGCAUGAUUUUGUUUUGGCAAUGCUGAGCGUUGGCCCAGUGCUUGUCGCACCUCUUUAUAUAUGAAAGACUCUCGGCAGCCAAAGGUG